GUCUACAGCCAUGCCACCCUGAACAUGCCCGAUCCCGUCUGAUCUCGGAAGCUAAGCAGGGUCGGGCCUGGUUAGUACUCGGAUGGGAGACCGCCGAGGAAGACCAGCUGUUGUAGGCG
rnacentral:rRNA from 1 species